URGUAAGCUGACUUUGUCUGAGGUGUUGAUAAGCUGAAGUUUGGGCUCCUUCUGGAUUUUCCAGUGUUGUGGAAAGAGAAGGGGAUGUGCUGCCUUUUGGAAAGGCCUGGGAGACUGGAGAGCUUUAGGCUCUGAAGCAGCUGCCUUGAGGAGAUCUUUCAGCUGAAUGACUGGGCUGAGAAUUGCCAAGAUCUCUCACGAUGCCACUUGCACAGAGAGCAGUGCCUGUGUCAGGAGCUGUUGUCAAGUUGACAGAGCUUGAUACAUAGGCACAAAGAUGCCUGUGUGGAUAUUGGUGCAUGACAGAAGCCAGAAGCACUUGCUAUCCGCCUAUUACUUAAAUGUAAUUCAUCUAAAACUGAUCAUUAUUUUAAUGUGGGUUACAGUGAAGCUAUUUUUGUUUAUCUUUGAGCUUUUAGGAAAGUCUAUACUCUUAAUUCUUCUAUAACAAUGCUCCCAUGAUACUCCUAUUAAGGUAUUUUUUUWAAAAAAUCUGUUAAAAUAAUCAAUACAAAGCAAGACACGAACAAAUGUUGUAAUUUCAUCAUUCAGUAGUAAAUCAUCAUAUUGUAGGACUAUUUGGAUGUAAUUCAGAGAAAUGAUAUUAUU